GCUGUGGAACUCCUACGGGAGGCAGCAGUGGGGAAUAUUGCACAAUGGGCGAAAGCCUGAUGCAGCGACGCCGCGUGAGGGAUGACGGCCUUCGGGUUGUAAACCUCUUUCAGCAGGGAAGAAGCGAAAGUGACGGUACCUGCAGAAGAAGCACCGGCUAACUACGUGCCAGCAGCCGCGGUAAUACGUAGGGUGCGAGCGUUGUCCGGAAUUAUUGGGCGUAAAGAGCUUGUAGGCGGUUUGUCGCGUCUGCUGUGAAAAUCCGGGGCUCAACCCCGGACUUGCAGUGGGUACGGGCAGACUAGAGUGUGGUAGGGGAGACUGGAAUUCCUGGUGUAGCGGUGAAAUGCGCAGAUAUCAGGAGGAACACCGAUGGCGAAGGCAGGUCUCUGGGCCAUUACUGACGCUGAGAAGCGAAAGCAUGGGGAGCGAACAGGAUUAGAUACCCCUGUAGUCCUACCACGU
rnacentral:rRNA from 1 species